rnacentral:lncRNA from 1 species
AGAAGAUUAGGGGCCUAAUCUGAAGUUACAGAAAAUUUAGGGACCUAAUCUAAAGUUACAGAAAAUUUAGGGACCUAAUCUGAAGUUACAGAAAAUUAAAGGACCUAAUCUGAAGUUACAGAAAAUUAAGGGACCAAUAUGAAAUUACAGAAAAUUAAGGGACUAAUACGAAAAAAACAUAAAAUUAGGGAUCUAAUAUGAAAUUUUCCAGGGACCUA